CGCCAUUUCGCCAGCUGAUCCCCUUCGCCUGCUCCUAUCGGAUUACACAGCCAUCGCAAUGUUUCGAUUGGACAAGUGAGAGCAUUGUUCCUGCUUUGCGUAGAUGAGGGGCACUGUGCAAGGAGUACCCUAUUUCCUGGCAUCCCCCUGCAGGCUGCAAUCCAGAGGAUCUUUUACUGGUAUACCCCAUGUGUGGAAGGAGGAGACAGCCUGUGAUACCAAAGUGAUGUUUUUGAAGGAUUUUGGAGCCACGAGUACCUGUCAUUCCUGUUCAUCAGCUCUUCCUGAAUGUAUCUCAGUUCUCUCGGCAUGGCCCUGUGUGAUCCCAUGAUCCUUUGUCUCUGAGACUGGCUUGUAGAAGGCAGCAUGGGAAGAAUCUGCAGGCGGCUGAGAGGGAGCUCGGAGCCCUGGUCAGUGUGAUCUAUGUCAGCAGCGCGGGGGGGAGAGGCUUUCCUGGAUGCUGUUGCCGUCUCGCGGAGUAACACUCGCCCUGGGAGCCGCCGCAGAGGCUGUCACCGGCACCCCGAGCUGUAAUUAAUCACCUAAUUGGAUUUCCCCGAAAGCACGGGAAGCAUGUGUCCCCUGAGUUUGGCGGGGAAAAAGAUGUCAUCAAUACUGUCCCCCCCCCAAAACACGCCACCAAGCAAUCCGAUUACCCCACCUUGAGUAAGAGCAGCAAUCUUCUUCCUUUUUGAAAACGAGAGCAUAACUUUAAAAAAGAAACCCCCUGCUGCUGAUGCCUUAGCAAUAAAGAAUUAGUGUCAAUUAUUUGAGUAAUAAAAAAGCUGUAAAUAUUAAUGCCUGGGUAAGGCAGUUGCAUGGGGCUCGGGAAAUUGCAGACAUAAUGCACAGUUAAAGGAGCUACUGCGGAAGAAAAUGAUCAAAUUCAUCAUUGCACGUCCCUGUUUUGCCUCUUUGUUUUUCCACUGUGCUGUAGGUGUGCAUUCUGCGUACCAGUCUCGGUAUGUUCAUGGUCUAAAGCCCGACCAUGCUGUCGGACUGAAAACGGCCUUUUUGGUGGCCAGCUCCGCCUAUGGGAUCGGGCAACGGGGAACACUAUGCUGUAGCAGGUGCCACCCUUAGAAUGGGACAUUACAGAGGUCCUGGUCAGCAAAGCAGCGCUCUGGCUGGAUUCCACCCUGGGUUUUUGUGUGAGCCAAAAGAAAAAAAACCCAUGAAAACAGCAGAAAUGCCAGGGACCACUGCAUAGAUAAGGAGCUCAAACACAGAAAGCGAAUAAACAGUAAAACUGAAAAAUGCUCAUUCAUUCACUCUAACAGUCACUGGGCCAGGGAAACAGAGACCAAGCUACUAAUGUAUGUGAGCCCACGGCAUUUAAUCUGUUAACCACUCAAGAUGAGCUACGUCCCUGAACACAAUUAACCAGCAAUGCAAUGUGACCGUAAAGGGUUCAACCAAGAGGUUAGGGAUAUUUUUCUUUGCGGCUGUUAAACCCGCCAAUAAAAUUUUACGUUGCAUUGCAUUAAAGCCACUCUCUAAGUAGAAAUGUGUCUCAGCCUAUUUGAAUAAAACUGAUAGUACACUAGCUAUUUGAACUCUGGGUUUUAGGUCUUUCUGGACCGUAAUCAGAACCGGUGUUGAAAGCAGAAUGAUGAAGAUUUAGGGUCGCGUCUAUCUGUGUGUGAACACCAUCGCGCGUGUCCAGGCUCGGUCUCCUGUUAAAACUUGCGGAUAACUUGAUAAGACCCACCUUACACUAACAAUGUAAUACGAACCAAAGCAAGAGAACGCUCCUUUCAGGGAGAAGACAAGGAUAUAAGGCUUGUGUUGUAUCCAACAAAGUGGGAGCGAGGGAGAUAGGGAAGUGUCCCCAACAAAAUGUAUGGCUA